rnacentral:pre_miRNA from 1 species
UGAGUCAAAUGAUUUAUGGCAUGUACGUUUGGAUCAUGUCAAUUAUAAAACCUUGUGAAAAAUGAUUAACUUGGAAGUACUGCCUAAGUUUGAAUGCGCAAAA